rnacentral:rRNA from 1 species
AUGACGGCGACAGGCCAACAGAGGGAGCCCCCUUCCUGCUCGACGCAGAUCCGCAAUAGGACGGUGACCAACGAUGAGGCAGUCCCCUUCCUGCUCGACGCCGUACUGCUCGUCUACUCGUGCUCUGCUCCUUCUGGCUCCGUCCGGCUGCUCUGCUCCUUCCUGCUCUGUCCGGCUACUCUGCUCUGCUCCGACUGCUCUGCUCUGCUCCAAUCGGGCAGCUCUCACCAUGGUUCAUCACUUCAAAGAUUCAAGGUCAGAGGGAUGUAUGAUCAGGGUGGGAAUGAGGAUGAAGAUUGCGAAAUUGUUGAGUUUUCUCGUGCAGCAAGUGGAAGCUCUCAACUUCCUAAGAAGCCUCUGAUCAAGGGUCCAAUGGACAGCUUGGUCAUGUCUUGCAUUUCUAAAAUUGGUGCUGAAAAGAUUGUUCAAGUAGUCACAGACAAUGCAAGUAACAAUAUUGCAGCAGCCACAGCCAAGUUACUUAAGCAGAAGCAUCCUCAAAUAUUCUGGACCUCAUGUGCAGCCCACACAAUCAACCUAAUGCUCCAAGACAUUGGAAAUAUACCCAUAGUCAGCUCAACAAUUACCAAUGGUAAGACCAUCACAAAUUUCUUUUAUGCACACACUAGAUUGUUGGCUAUUCUUCGCAAGUAUGCCAAAGGUGAUUUAGUCAGAGCUGGUGCUACUCGAUUUGCAAGUCACUACUUGAACUUGAAGAGUUUGUAUGGAAAGAGGAAGCAGCUGAAGCUAAUGUUUGCAUCAAAUGAUUGGGCUGGCAGUAGUUAUGCUAAGAAGCCAUUGGGAAAACGUGUGUACAAGCUCGUAAUGGACAAUAAGUUUUGGGCCAAGAUAAACCUGCUAGUGAAUUAUUUUGAGCCACUUGCCAAUGUGCUUAGGCGGGUUGAUGGAGACACUCCAGCCAUGGGGUUCUUAUAUGGUGAUCUUCUCCAAGCAAAGCAGGAAAUAGCAGUCCGGCUCAACCAUGUUGAGAAAUAUGGUCCUAUUUGGGAGAUCAUAGAUAGAAGUUAUUACACCGCAGCCAUAGAUUCAUUUGGAACUGAGAUGGCCAUUAGACAACGCAAAGUAGCAACUAUCACUCCUGAAAGAUGGCGGACCGUGCAUGGAACUUCUGCAAAGGACUUGAAGAAGAUGGCUAUUAGAAUCUUGAGCUUAACUUUUAGUUCUUCGGCAUGUGAAAGAAAUUGGUCUGCAUUUGAGAGGGUACAUUCAAAGAAGAGGACCAGACUAGGCCAGAAGAAGUUGAAUGACCUUGUUUAUGUGAUGUUCAACAAGAGGCUGGACUUGAAGUACUCCGAGAGGGAAAGGGACCCACUGCUUGCAAAAUACAUUGAAGAUGAGCCACCAAAUGAGUGGAUGUUGGAUGAAGAGCUACUAUAA